rnacentral:rRNA from 1 species
AUUGAACGCUGGCGGCAGGCCUAACACAUGCAAGUCGAGCGGAUGAAGGGAGCUUGCUCCUGGAUUCUGCGGCGGACGGGUGAGUAAUGCCCAGGAAUCUGCCUGGUCGUGGGGGAUAACGUCCGGAAACGGGAGCUGAUAUCGCAUACGACCAUAGGGAGAAAGUGGGGGAUCUUCGGUCCUCACGCUUUCAGAUGUGCCUAGGUCGGAUUAGCUAGUUGGAGGGGUAAAGGCCUACCAAGGCGACUAUCCGAAACUGGUCUGAGAGGACGAUCAGUCACACUGGAACUGAGACACGGUCCAGACUCCUACGGGAGGCAGCAGUGGGGAAUAUUGGGCGAUGGGCGAAAGCCUGAUCCAGCCAAGCCGCGUGUGUGAUGAAGGUCUUCGGAUUGUAAAACGCUUUAAGUUGGGAGGAAGGGAAGUUAUUUAAGAGGUGACUAUUUUGACGGUACCAACAGAAUAAGCACCGGCUAACUUCGUG